AGUUCCCAUACGAUCACUGAAGUUAAGCAACGUCGAGCCUGGUCAGUACCUAGCUGGAUGACUGCUUAAGAAUAACAGGUGCUGUAAG